rnacentral:rRNA from 1 species
UGGGGUGGAAACGGAUAGAGCCGGCGUUCUGCCGCGCACUCAGCAGUCGCGUCCGCGGGGCUCUCGGCAACUCUGUUUGAGUUGCAGUUAGUCGCAACGGCGGGGCUGCGUAUUGCGCGUGGAGAGCACUGAGGGGCGCUGGGGCGGCGGCGAGAUGGCUCUUGGUAGCGGACGUACCUAGCACGCAUCCUGCCUUCCGGAUCGCCCGUCGCUCGGGCGUCGCCAGCCGGGGAUCGCAGUGACGCGGUGCCGUUCUUGCGCUUCGGCAAAGGAAAUGGACACUUAGCGGAGCUCGGUCCCACCUCGGUGCAGCACGGUCACCUAUCCGACCCGUCUUGAAACACGGACCAAGGAGUUUAGCGCAUGCGCGAGUCAUUGGGCUUCGAACCCCAAAGGCGCAACGAAGGUGACCAACACCGAUGCGAUCCCGCCUUAACGGUGGGAGCAGCAUCGCCCUGCGGUGGCGCCACGGCGGCCCGCUGAGGCGGAGCGCAUGCGAUGAGACCCGAAAGAUGGUGAACUAUUCCCGAGCAGGACGAAGCCGGGGGAAACUCCGGUGGAAGUCCGAAGCGGUUCUGACGUGCAAAUCGAUCGUCUGACUUGGGUAUAGGGGCGAAAGACUAAUCGAACCAUCUAGUAGCUGGUUCCUU